AUUGAUUGACUUGCAUAUGUUAAACCAUCCCUGCAUCCCUGGUAUGAAACCCACUUGAUCAUGGUGGAUUAUCUUUUUGAUAUGCUGUUGGAUUCAGUUAGCUUGGAUGUAGCAUUUCUUACUAUUCCAAUCUGUGGAAUGUAUUGGUUUGAAUAAUGAAAACAUGUUCUACCUUCACUGCUUAGCACUUCAUUUCUUUAACAGCCUUCCCAACAGGGCAGCAUAAAAGCAGGAGCCCUGCUAGUCUCCCCUUAACCUGGAAUCCCCCCUUCUCCACAGCUCGCUCAUUGGACAGGAUAGACUGGGCACACAGGCCUCAGGGUAAGGACAUGCUCCGUCACCUAGAGGUGCAGUGCCUGGGAAGGCCAACCGUGGAGGGGCGCUGCCAGCUUUACAGUGAUAGAGGUGUUCAGAGGGACUGACCACCUAUUCAUAAGGCUGUGCUUUGUUGGUGACGUCAAGGAUUGUUUUGCAGAUUGUUGAGGGGGGACAAUCCCAAGACCUCACCUGGUCCUGGUCCUGGCUUUGCACAAAGGCAAUAAGAGAGGAAUGCUGGUCAGGGCUGACCUGUUGCUGUGCUGGGGAGGAAGGUGCUGGGCUGAAAUUCAGGAGGCUGAGGAUGCAGCAGUCCCAUAGGAGGUGCAUGACCUUCAGCAUACGGUUUCUUAAUUGAUGAUAAAUGGAAAUGAUAAAUCAUUGACUAUUUUUUCCGUCAUUGGACAUCUACUCUCUACUGCUCGUGCUGUUCCUAUCUUUAUGGGGAAGAUGGAGGAUCAAUGAGUGUGUGCUGCACUGAGUGGAAGGAAGGAGACCUGUGACAAAAAUUAAAGGAGGAUGAGGGAUGGGAGGGCCCUUCAUCCAGGUGCUCGCAGAGUCCUCCUGAGGAGGAAAGCCCCGUGGCUCCCUGGGGAAGGAGCCAUGAGGGCUGCGUGACUCCCACAGUGAAGUGUGUGGUAUGUCUGAGGACACCCAGGCUGGUCUGUGAGGAGCCAGUGGAGAGUGAGAAGCAGCAAGGCCAGGAGGGUGGCUGGAGGCCAGGCUCUGGGUCAUUCUCCGUGUGAUGGAAACAGCCAGAGCCCAGUGGGCUGGGAGGUGCAGGACGUGGUGGCUGAUAACAGAACAAUGCAGACAGAAGUGCCAGGUGUCAAAUCCUUACUUUGUUCUGGGCAUUGUGCUAAAACUUCCCGUGGCUCAUCCCAUUUAGGGACUGAAAGUUGCAGAGGUUUAGGAAACUCACCCAGAAUACUGGAGCCCCCAUCUCCUGCCCCAGUGCUGUCCCCCUUCUCUCCCAGCCACCACCUGUUUCAGGGGAACACACAGAAGUGGUAACCUUUUAUGGAUAGGGAAGUAAAUUUUGCUGUUUUUGUUAUUCACAGAAAAAAACCACUGGCUCCUGUGGGUUGGGAAGGUGAAAUACCAGAAAUAUUUCAUGUGGUUAUUUCUACCAAUGUGAAUCCUAUAGUAUUGAAAUGCACAGGUUAGGAUUUUUGGCCAAUUUACUCAGCAUUCCGGGGUAGGGAUGAAGGCUUUUAUUUAGUAAUUUUUUUUGAGACAGUUUCACUCUUGUUGCCCAGGCUGAAGUGCAACAGUACUCUCUCAACUCACUGAAACCUCAGCCUCCCAGGUUCAAGCGAUUCCCCUGCCUCAGCCUCCCAAGUAGGUGUGAUUAUAGGCUCAUGCCAACAUGCCCGGAUGAUUUUUUGUAUUUUUAGUAGAAAUGAAGUUUCACCAUGUUGGUCAGGCUGGUCUCGAACUCCUGACCUCAGGUGAUCUGCCCACCUUGGCCUACCAAAGUGCUGAGAUUAUGGGCGUGGGGCCACCACGCCCAGCCUAAAGGCUUUUAAAAUUCACUCGUAUAAGUUGACUUAGUUUUCUUUAACCUUGUAGAAAAAUAUAAAAAUGGCCAUCUAUCACACAAAUAACUUUUUAAUAGUGAGUUUUUCUAAUUGAUGAAUUAUGUACUUUUCAUUUACUAAUUAUUAAUUGCUUACAUUUGAAGUGUCUUAUGAAUAUUUAAUUGCAUAGAUGAAGAUUACUAGUCAUAGGCAUUUCACUAAGCAAUACUCAUUAAGCACAGCAUGGAUUCAUGUGAUGUCAAGGGGCUAUUUUAUUUGGUGAAAGGAAAAAGAACAAGAACGAAUGCAAGAGCUGGACCAAUGGAGACACUGACAGUGAUCUGUCUAAGAUCUAAAUCACUCUGUUGUCUUCCCGGCCUCCUUAUCAUCCUCAUCACUGUCGUCAGCAUUGUUGGGUCCUUUUAGCACAGAUUUCUCAAAAUGGGCAACUCCGUAACAUUUGGAAACUUAGGAGAUCGUGUAAUUUGUAAGAGGGCGACUUGGGAUUACCUAUCGAUUUUAAAAUUCUAAUAACCUGGUAAAUUUCAUCCCAUGUGUAGAGUCUUUUAUGUAAAAUAUUUCCACUACUAAGAUAAAUAUGUGCAUGGGGAUUUUCUAUGUUGCAGUGUUUUUACGGAAUAGAAAAUUGGGAAAAACCAAAUUUCCAUCACAAAGAAAAUAGUAAUACACUGAAUAAUAAUACAGCGCGAAUAUUAUGCUGACUUUAAACAUCAAAAAAGAGCUCAACUUCUGACUUCCGAUGAUGGUGUUGAAGUAGGUCACAGCUGGUUGACAUUUGAUUAUCGUGUGGGAACCCUGGAAGUCUGCCUUAGUGAUUUUACAUGUGGCUAAAUUUAGCUAAUGAAAAGCUAUUCGAAGUAUGGGAAAAUGGAACUUUAAAACACCUGUUUCACGUAGAGCCCACGCAUUCAUCUGCCUGCCCAUCACUCUGUCUGUCCACAUGGGCAUCAUUUGUUAGUGGAACUGAGUGCCCACUGUCGAGCUGACAAGCCCAUACCUCCCUGUUCCUAGUCACACAUUAAUUCUUCAACAAAGCCCUUUUGAUAGAUUGUGAUUAAGCUUAGCCGCUAUUUCCAAUUGCUUCCCCAAACAUACUUCUCACUGUUCUCCCAUCAUACCCUUCAACCCAUCCAUGCAGGUUUCCUUUGCUUUUCCCACCUUACACCAAACUCCCUAUUUUUACUCCCACUUUUACCUCCUCUCCAAGACAAAACAAAACUAGCAUUUUAAAACUUAGUUGUAAUAUUUCUUCCUUCAUGAAAAUUUCUCCAACAGCCACUCCCAUGGCCCUGUGUGUUCUCCAUAUUUUUAAAUAUUGGGUAUAAGGUUGAGCACGUCAGGAUAUGCUGUUUCGGGCUGCACACUGUUUUGUUUGUAUUGAUUCUUCCUAUUGGAGGCGGAGUGGUCAUUGCCUUCUCCUCCUCUGGGGAGUUUAUGCCAGUGCUCUUGAGUAAGAUUGACAGACAGUUUUUCUUUUUAUACUUAAUUUUUUUGUAUGGUAUUGAGAUAACAAUAUUCUAAUCAAAUUAAAUUGAAAGCAGCCCCCUUCAUUAAUUUUAUGGAAAUCUUGCAAUCAGAUUAGAAUGACAACUCCAUUGUAAUUUUGGAUUUAGUCACUACUACUACUAGGGCUGUGUUUGUGACAGAGAGAAAGAGAGAAAGGGAGAGAAAGGGAGAGAAAGAGACAAAGACCGGUACUUCUUAACUACUGAUUAAAUUUACAUAGUGGCUACUGAACUAUUUAGAAUUUUUAUUUCUUCAUGAGUUCAUUUUAGAAAAUUGUACUUUCUAGGAUCCUAUUUUAUACACAUUUUAAAAUAUAUUGGCAUAAUAUCCAUAUUCAUAUAUAUUUGUAUACAUAACACGAAUACAUAUGUAGAUUUGAAUACAUAUAUACCUAUUCAUAAUAUCCACUGAUUGUUUUGUAAUCUCUGCUACUUCUGUGGUUAUGUCUUCCUAUGAAUUUCUGAUGAAUUUUGAUGAUUUCCCUUUUUUCUUGAUAAAUCUCACUAAUGACUUUUGUAUUAGACUUUUCUCCAAAACAACUGUUAGCUUCCUUACUUCUCCCUGAUAUUGUCCUUAUUUUCUAUUUCAUCAAUUUCUCUUCUCAUCUGUUGUCCUUCCAUUACAUUAUCUGCGUUUAUUCUGAUGUUACUUUUUUCUAACUUGAGUUGUAUGCUUAAUUAACUUUCGGCCUUUCUGACUUUCCAAUGUAAAUAACUAAGCUUAUAGAUUGCUCUCACAUAACGCUCUUUGCUGCAUCUCACAAUUUUCAGUUUGCACACAUUUUGUUAUUUAUUCAUAAGUAUUAUCUAAUUGCAUUAUGAUUUUUAUUGACAUUCAAGUUUAGAAGUAUGCUCUGCAUUUUCUAGUGUUGCAACCAAUCAAUGGUCUUGUGCGCUAGUCUUUUCAGUUUUUGCCAGUCUCCUUUAGGAGAGAUUUUGAGGUGUUGGAUUGAAGUGUUACUGCUUUGCAACUUUGCUAAAUGUUGCCAGAUUUCCCUCCACAGGUGCCUAAUGGGGCUUUCUUAGCAAGAAUGUGUGCACAGCCACGCUGACAGAGUUACAUGUGAAACUUCUAAAAUUUUGUCUCUAAAGUGGUUAAGGUGAUUUUUAAAAUUUUUUCAAUGAGAUUAAAAGCCAUUUGUUUUAUUUAUAUUGUUUGUUCAUGUCUCCAACAUGCUUACAUGUGAUUGCUGCCAGUCUUCUUCCCUACAUUUAGAGACUUGUUACAUUUUAAGUAUAUUAAAACUUUUGUGAUAUGCCUGGUCAUAUUUUUUUUUCCUGUUACCAUGUAUCUUUUGUACUUUUUAAAUUGAACUUCACGUCACACUGAGGUUUUCUAGUUUUAUAUAAUAAAACAUUGUAAUUUCAUUGUGUUCUCAGGGGCUACCACUUUCAAGGCUGCUGUUGACUUUCUACAGUAACAUGUGCUGCAUUGAUGAGGAGCAGCCAGUGUCUCCCAUGUUUUGUAAUAAUUGUUCUUUGUUUGUUUCAGAUAACCCUGAGAAAUAUAUUGGCUGUCUCCACAGGCUUAUGAUUUCUUCUCAGGUUUGAAAAAUGCACCCAGCUGAGCAACACAGGACUGACACAUUGAGGGAGCAGCUGCAGGACACAUCCAAGCAGCCUCUUACGGCUGGAGGCUUCAUCUAUGGCUGGCGUUUUCAUCUAUGGCUGCGGGCUUUAUCCAUGGGCUGGAGACUCUAUCCACUACUGGGGGCUUCAUCUAUGUCUGGGGGCUUCAUCUAUGGCUGGAGGCUUCACCUAUGGCUGCGGGCUUUAUCCAUGGGCUGGAGACUUUAUCCACUACUGGGGGCUUCAUCUAUGUCUGGGGGCUUCAUCUAUGGCUGGAGGCUUCACCUAUGGCUGGGGGUUCAUCUAUAGCUGGAGGCUUCAUCUAUGGCUAGCGGCUUCAUCUAUGGCUGGCAGCUUCAUUUAUGGCUGCGGGCUUUAUCCAUGGACUGUGGGCUUCAUUCAUGGCUGGGGGCUUUAUCUAUGGGCUGGAGACUUUAUCCACGACUGGGGGCGUCAUCUAUGGCUGGGGCUUCCUCCACAGGUUGGGGGCCUCAUCCAUGGCUGGUUUGCCCGCCGAUCUCUUUCUGAGCCACUGAAACAGAUUAUUAAACAGAAAGAGUGGAUUUAAGGAAACACUGAGAUGCCCCUGUCUGUUUGUGAACAGGCGUGUUGGGUCUAAAGCCUUUCUCUGGUAGCUUUCCAGAAGAUCGCCCCGCCUUACACUUGCUUUCUGCGGGUUCCAGAGGCUUCCAUGUGAAAGGAGCCUCUCUCCCUACUCUGCCUCACCCUACACCAGCUCUCCUGUAACCCACCGACUUUGUAAACGCUUUCUUCCACCUUCACCUCAUUGAAUUCAGAACUUUGGAAAAUAAAAAUUCUAAAAACGUGGGAGUGGGUAUGAUCUGGAAAUCCCUGCUGUAAUAUUUUUAACGGAAUCUACUGGAAACUAUUAGUUUAUGUUUUAAAUAAAACCAUCCCUUAGCAUUUAGAAUAUCAAGCCAUUCAUUUUCUAGCAGAACUUUUAGAUAUAAUUCAAAUACCAUAAAUUUAUACAGUGUACAACUCAAUGGUUUCUAAUAUAUUCAGAGGUCUGCAAAAAUUACCACAAUUGAAUUUUAGAUAUUAUCGUUUGUUGACAUCCUUACAUGCAUACAGAUGUAGAUAUAUGUAAUUCUAAUAUCUUGAAUAUUAUAUUUAACAUUGUACUAUAUCAUCAUCUGUGUCUUUAUAUUGCUAUUUUGUUAUUCUGAAUGACGAUGAUCUCCAGGUACCUUUAUACAGGUUUAAAAUACACCUUUUUACAACUCAAGAAAUUAAAUUGUUUCUAGUAAAUCACAUAAGAAACACAUAUGCUAUUGUUAUAAAAAUGCAAAUAUUGCUUAGGUCUGUAUAAUGAAAUGUAUCACCGCCAGCGCCCAGCCCACUCAGUCAUCCACAUCCACUUACACACAGAUAGACAUGCCCAUGUUUUUACAUAACAUGAUGCUGCUCUAUGUGUUGUUCCCUGACUGGCUUUUCCACAUAAAAUAGAAUUUGGUGAAAAUUCUAUCUGUACAUAUAGGUCUCCCUCAUUCUUAUUUAUAGUUGCAUCAUUAUUCAACAGGGUAUUUUACCAUAAUUUGGUCACUUUUCACUGUGGAAUUUUUAUGUUGGAUUCAGUUAUCUGUUACCAUUACCUACACUAUCCUGGGCAUACCUGUAUAUUCAUCUUCUUGGUACCUUAGUUAAGUGGGAUUUUUCUUUUAUGAUUGAUUUCUAAAAGAAUACUGAGGCAAAGUAAGAAUAUUGAAUAUUUUGAUAAAAAUCUGUGUUUCAAAAAAAUGUAAUGAUCAUAUACUCCCAUCAUCAGUAUAUGAGAGUUCCUAUUUCCACACACCCUUAAUUAAUUACAAAGGAAAUGACCAAUGCUAAUCUUGGCCAAUUUUGUAAGAAAUAUUUCCACUUUUAAUUUGGAUCUCUCCACUUACGGGAGAGAUUGUGCAUUUUUGUAUAUGUUUAUUGGCCAUUUGUAUUUCUGAGAAUUUCAUAAUGAUAUGUUUUACUAGUUUUGUAAUUCAUGUAAUGAUAUUUUUCAUAUAUUCUGUAAAUUUAUUUCAUAUAAUUAGCAAGUUUCUUAAGGUCUGUAUCAUAACUUUUGUAUUUGUCUUGAAGAAACUUUCAUUUUUGCAUAGUCAAAUUGUUCAAUAUUUUCCCUAUCAUGUCUGGAUUUUGUGACUUGUUUUCAACAAUAUGUCCUUUUAGGGCUUUAUUGAUUUGUUUAAAGAACGUACUCAACUCCUACAUUCUUUAAUAAUUUACUUUCUCCCAUUACAGUACAUGGACAUCACUAAUUCCAACUAAUGUAGAUCAAAUGUAUCAUUUGAAUUUCUGUGUAGUAAUACUCAUUAUAGGUAUGUUCUGAUUUCUUUAACUCUUCCCUAUUAGAUGGAUAUUAAGGUUGUUUUUAAAAAUUCCUACCACUAAUGACUUUUCAAUAAUCAUCAAUAUACAUGGA